AUGUGAUAAAAAGGAUCAAGUUUGGGGUUAUAUGGGGAAAGUAAAAGGCAAAAGCAAAAGCAUUGAGUUCAAAAGAUGAAAAAGAAAAAUGCAUGAGAAAGGAAAGAAAAGAAGAAAAGAGAAAAACAUGUAAAGUGAACUCAAUGAAAAAUGUAAAUUGAAAAAGGGAAAAGUUGGGGAUGAGUGAGAUUGGUUAAAAAAAAAAAGAGUGUGCUUGAACUUUGAAUAAUGAUUUAAACUCUCUUAACUCAAUGAUUUUGUAUUCCAGAAAAACCAAUUUUCUUGUUAACCCAGCCACAAUACAAGCCUUAGAAAAAGUCCUUGUGAUGACAUAUGCAUGUGAAAGAUGUUGAUUGUUUUAGAUGAAUGACAAUAUUGUUUUAUGUGACAUGUGAACAGUAGAGAGUAGAGUGACCUCCUAAACACUUGAGUGAUUGAGUGAAACACUUGCUUGGUGAGAAUUGUUAAAUCCAUGUUUACAUCUAUGCUUAGUUGAUUGAUCAUUCAUGAAUAGAACAUCUGUUGGAAAAAGAUAGAUUGUGUGAACUAAAGUGGAUUGAAAGCAUG
rnacentral:lncRNA from 1 species